AACUUUGUGACAAACUUCUGCUUUUCAUUUUGGAAAUAAGUGACUUAUCAGAGGAGUAAGGGACUUUAUGCUGCAGACUGAAUUCUGGGAGGAACGUUUCUCUGAAUUCCACUGGAUUCAGACACAACCACUUCAUUCUGACAAUAUAAUGAAGGUGGAAAAGGGCAGAUUUUUUUUCCCAGGAAGUCAGAAAAAAAAUGUGAUUAAAGGAUACAAUGAAAUACCAGAUUUUGGCUGCCAGAUUUUAAAAUGGUUUGCCAGGAAUGAAAGUCCUAUUUAUACAAGGCUUGUAAAGAGGAUAGCAGAACAGAUGACCAUGUUGAAACAAGCAUAAAGAGAAUGAGAAUGAAGUGAACUGUUCUUCAAAAUGUCAAGGCAGGCAAACAUUGGUGACCUUCAUGCAAACUGUCUCCAAAGUCAGUGCAGUUACACCAGAAUGUUUAUUUUUAAUUUUGUUCUCUAAUAAAGCAGCAGCAUUUUCCAACCUCAAAAAAGUCAUCUUUAUUUACUCAGCUGUAUUAUUGCUAUUAAUCAUUUAUAGAGUAUCAGAAAUUUUUAGUGUUUUACAACUUGAGACAUACGCUUACCUAAAAGAGUUUGGGGACAGAAGACAAAUCAUAUACUGUUAAAGCAUCACCUCACUUACCUAAGAGAAUCAGGAGAUAUUACAACAGAAGAAACAAGACAAGAAAUAUUACAACAGAAGAAACAAGAUAUAUUUGCAGUGAAGGAUUUCCAAGAGGGGUUUAAAGAAAAGGCUA